rnacentral:lncRNA from 1 species
CUCUCAUUCGAUAAAGGAAUUAAAUAAAUUAUUAUACAAGCUGUUUGAUUGACAAAACCUUCCAGAAUUCCUCUAAAUUUGAAAUUGUAGAUCCUGUCUCCCUUAAGAAAAUGUGAUUUACCACACAGGAGUUGGUUUUUUCUCCGCUUCUGCAUUUCACAGGUAUUGUCAUAUGCAGAACAUGCCUGCCCUGUCAGUGCAGCAGACUCUAGCUCCCAGAAUUGUGUUGUUCGUGAUGCAGCAGGCAAGCAUUAACACAUAGGAAUGGUGUGAAGAGAAGCCACCUUAAGCUCCUUACAGUAUGUGAAUGAGGAGGACGACAGCUUUUUGACUAGUUGAGUGAGCUGUAGGCCUCAGUGAGCCUCACGGUCUAAAACAUGGUGAAUAAAAGUAAUGUCUUCAUACAAUAAAUCGUUACAAAGCUUAAGUAUAUGGUUGUGCAUGUCCGCGACUUUCAAACUUGAAGACCAUUAUAUUGAACCCUGCCCUUUGCAGUAUAUUUAAAACACUAGAGAAAAUAUAUAUUUAUAAAAAAAAAACAACCACCUUUCACAUACAGGAUAAUCAAUGGUAUAAAAGUUAUUAUUAAAUAAUUUAAAAAGUAAAUGAUGUCCUAUAGAACAAAAUCAGUGGUAUUCUCAAAUAUUAGGAUUGUGUAACUUCAUUUUUUUCUUGGUCUUGA